UCAACGGUCGGAGUAUUAUUAGCUCGAUUGAAUAAUAAGUUCGUUUAGUGUUUAGUGUUUACUGUUUACUGUUUAGUGUUUAGUUUUAGUCCGAUUUUCGAUCGUUAACGACGCGUUUCUGAUAAUCUUCACAAUGAGCAAUUCAGAUGGAGAUCAUACUAAAACAACUACAACCGCAAAAAGAAAACAUGUAAAUAUUUCUACAUUUUUUUAACAAAAAACAUAUUUUAUUAGAACCAAGUAAUAAAAUAGAAAACAUAAAUAUUCCGAUUCCAUCUACUUCUCAACUAUCUGAAAAUGAACAAAAUACUGUUUACACCAUAGAAAAUAAUAUUUUAGAACCUUCAACUUGAAUUAUGGAUUGUCAAAUGGACCAGAGUUAAAAAUGAAGAUGGUUUGGAUCAUUGUCAGGAUGUACUAUUCCCAAAUAUUAAAACAAUGCUUUUGAUUAUUGGUUGUCUACCCAUCAGUGUUGCAUCAGCUGAAAGAAGUUUUUCUACUUUGCGCAGGUUAAAGGAUUGGUUAAGAUCACGAAUGUGUCAAGAUAGAUUGAAUGGUUUAGCUUUACUUCAUGUUCAUAAGGAAAAAGAAGUAUCAACAGAUAAUAUCAUUGAACGGUUUUCAAAAGUUAAAAAAAGAAAUAUGGAAUUAAUAAUGUAAUAUCUAUUUUAUGUAUAUUUUUUUUAUAAAUAAAUAGCUAAUUUUUGU